UCUUUUCGAUCACGGCUGACA
ensembl:piRNA 21ur-1902 ncRNA